UACGUGAGGGGGCAAGCGUUGUCCGGAAUCAUUGGGCGUAAAGCGCGUGUAGGCGGUCCGGUAAGUCCGCUGUGAAAGUCGGGGGCUCAACCCUCGGAUGCCGGUGGAUACUGUCGGGCUUGAGUACGGAAGAGGCGAGUGGAAUUCCUGGUGUAGCGGUGAAAUGCGCAGAUAUCAGGAGGAACACCAAUUGCGAAGGCAGCUCGCUGGGACGUUACUGACGCUGAGAC
rnacentral:rRNA from 1 species